UGGUGGAGUGAUUUGUCUGGUUGAUUCCGUUAACGAACGAGACCUCGACCUCUAGUUAGUUCAGCUCCAAGUUUUAAUCGACUUGGCUCGCGAAGUUUCUGAAUUGGGACUAUCGGUGUGUAGCCGAUGGAAGUUCGAGGCAAUAACA
rnacentral:rRNA from 1 species